UAGUUGCUUCCUCAUGAGGACAGUGAGACUUCAGUCUGACACGCCCACACUCCACAGGUUGAGGACGAAGCUUGUUUCAAAUCUGCUGACAAAGGUUUGAGCUCCAGGAUUUCCAGAACAAAAUGAAGUUGCUUGCACUGCUCCUCUUCUGUAACACUGCGUCUUCAGUGAAAUACUCCCUGAAAUAUUUCCUCACUGCCACGUCUGGACUCCCAGACUUCCCGGAGUUUGUGGCUUCUGCUUUGGUUAAUGGAGUUCAGGUGGGUUACUGUGACAGCAACAUCAGGACAGCCGAACCCACACAGGACUGGAUGAAAAAACUAGUAAAAGACGACCCUCAGCACCUGGACUGGUAUUCUGAGAAGUGUUUCGGAAAUCAGCAGGUCUUCAGAGCCAACAUUGAUAGCUUGAAGCAACGCUUAAACCAGACUAGAGGUCCUUACAUCUUACAGAGGAUGAAUGGCUGUGAAUGGGACGAUGAGACUGAAGAAAUCAAAGGUUUUAAUCAGUACGGUUACAAUGGUGAGGACUUCAUAGCACUGGACCUGCAAACACUAACAUGGAUCGCUCCCAAACCACAGGCUGUCAUUACAAAACUGAAAUGGGAUGCUGAAAAAGCUCGAUUAGAGCACAACAAGAACUACUACAUCAACAGGUGCCCCGACUGGCUGAAGAAGUAUGUGAAAUAUGGGAGGAGCUUUCUGCAGAGAUCGGUUCUUCCCUCAGUUUCUCUCCUCCAGAGGAGUCCUUCAUCUGUAGUCAGCUGCCACGCUACAGGUUUCUAUCCUCACAGAGCCAAAAUGUUGUGGAGGAAAGAUGAAGAGGAGUUUCAUGAUGGUGUGGACAAAGGACAGAUCCUCCCCAACCAUGACGGGAGCUUCCAGACGAGUGUUCAGCUGAAUGUUUCAUCAAUCAAGCCAGAGGACUGGAGGAGGUACGACUGUGUGUUUCAGCUCGCCGGUGCAGAGACAGACAUCAUCACCAAACUGGACAAAAAAGUGAUCCACACCAACAGUGUUUCUCUGUCAGAGUUUCCUGUGGGUCCUGUUGUUGGAGCUGCUGUUGGAGUUUUACUCCUCCUGGCAGUCUUUGGAUUCUUUAUCUGGAAAAGAAACAGUCAUGAGUUCCAGCUUGCUGACAGUGAGGAAACAACAAAUUGAUCUUGUUUUUUCAUUUUGGGAAACCACACAGUGACGACAUUUAUCUCAACAGCACAACCUGAUCUCCAGAGACAGAAGGCAAACUUACAGGGCAGCUUUAUUACUGCAACACACAGGAAAACAAAGAAUACAAUCACAAGCUAAGCUGAACUGAACUGGAGCCAGGAAUACAAAUACUAAACUAGACGAAGGAAAAACACGACACAAGAGAGAAGAUGAGAGUUGAGAGACGGCAUAAUAACAGGAUGCAGUGACAAUGUACGCUCACAGGAUAAUGAGAGGAGAGGCAAGAGGUGGGACACAUGACUGGAAACUACUGAUGAGAAUGGGAAAAUAAACAAUGCAUGUCACAGUAAGCCCCAGUUAGCACAAUAAAACAAGAGGACACAACUGAAUGUAGGAAACAAGAGUUAACUUAACAGGGAAGAACAGGAAUACUAGACAGAGGAGCAUGGGAAGACAAAGGACCAAUGCAGGUGAGACUGGGGCUCCAAGGAACAC